rnacentral:rRNA from 1 species
GGACAACCUGCCCUCGGGUGGGGGAUAACCCCGGGAAACUGGGGCUAAUCCCCCAUAGGGGAUGGGUACUGGAAUGUCCCAUCUCCGAAAGCGCUUAGCGCCCGAGGAUGGGUCUGCGGCGGAUUAGGUUGUUGGUGGGGUAACGGCCCACCAAGCCGAAGAUCCGUACGGGCCAUGAGAGUGGGAGCCCGGAGAUGGACCCUGAGACACGGGUCCAGGCCCUACGGGGCGCAGCAGGCGCGAAACCUCCGCAAUGCGGGAAACCGCGACGGGGUCAGCCGGAGUGCUCGCGCAUCGCGCGGGCUGUCGGGGUGCCUAAAAAGCACCCCAUAGCAAGGGCCGGGCAAGGCCGGUGGCAGCCGCCGCGGUAAUACCGGCGGCCCGAGUGGCGGCCACUUUUAUUGGGCCUAAAGCGUCCGUAGCCGGGCUGGUAAGUCCUCCGGGAAAUCUGGUCGCUUAACGAUCAGACUGCCGGAGGAUACUGCCAGCCUAGGGACCGGGAGAGGCCGGGGGUAUUCCCGGGGUAGGGGUGAAAUCCUGUAAUCCCGGGAGGACCACCUGUGGCGAAGGCGCCCGGCUGGAACGGGUUCCGACGGUGAGGGACGAAGGCCAGGGGAGCGAACCGGAUUAGAUACCCGGGUAGUCCUGGCUGUAAACGAUGCGGACUAGGUGUCACCCGAAGCUAUGAGCUUCGGUGGUGCCGGAGGGAAGCCGUUA